CUUGGUGGCAAAUUACAUAAAAGAAAAGCAUCCAUUGUUGAGGUUGGUUAUUUCGUGAAGCAUUCAGUUGAUCUUAAGCUUUCAAAAGGAAUAAGCAGUUUGAGAACCCUUCUGUUAGUCAUAUUAGUUAACUGUUGACAUCGCCGAAUACUAAAAAGUAAAAAUCCUAUUUUGUCAUCAUAAUGCAGUUUUUUAGAGUGAGUGGAUCGGAUGCACAGAAGCCUGUUGAGCUUUAUACAAGUACUAGAACAAACAAAAUCACCUUCUGUCAUCUGUCAAAUGGAGUGAAGAAAAAAAUUGUCGCGUUCGCCAAAUAAUUGUUGAAACCCUCACGCCGAGUAAUCACUUAUCACAUACGAAGGACGAUCUUUAAAAAUGAAUGAUCAUAUAUUGAAUCAAAUAUAAAUUAACACUAAAUUGGAAUGAAUAUACUUGAAACAAAA